UAGGUGGUGUUGAACAAAUUAUGUGAG
rnacentral:piRNA from 1 species